CUUGAUCUGAAAAUUGCAGCACCAGGACCCAAAGCCUCAAGAUGUCUAGCAUCGGCAAGCCUCCAACACUCAAACUCAUCCAGAAAAACUGAUUUUAUUCCAUGAAUGGAAGGCCUGACGCCAUCAAAAACCGCCUUAUUACGAUGAAGCCAUAAACACCAAGCCCCCAAGAUGAUGAUACUAUUAAAGCCUCUUCUUUUGGAUUUGUGCACUUUCUUACACACCUUCUCCCACCAGUCAGCAAAAGUGGACUCAUUAGAGGCAGGAGAAAAAUUAGCCAGUCCCAGUGAAGAGAGAAUGUAGAACCAAAAUUGCCGCGCAAAAAUGCAAUUGCCUUUUCUAGCAACCUGUUCCUAUGAAUUUCUUUUAUUGACAACAUGAAUUAGUCUAUUUUAGUUCAUCUCUUUCUUGUCACAAAUUUAAAUGAAUAUAAUUGUUUGUUUCAGUGGCAAUUCUGUGAAGCCCAAAGGUUCCAAGUCACCAUGAGAAAAUUGAAAUGGCGAGAUCUCUUAAUCUAAUUGUUGCACCUUGGAAGGUCUGAACCAUCAGAGUUUAAUUGUAUCACCCAUUUACACAAGUUCCUACCAUCAGAGUUCAACUGUAUCACCCAUCCAUAAGCAAUUCCUUGUG
rnacentral:lncRNA from 1 species